rnacentral:rRNA from 1 species
UACGAAGGGUGCAAGCGUUAAUCGGAAUUACUGGGUGUAAAGCGCGCGUAGGUGGUUCAGUAAGUUGGAAGUGAAAUCCCCGGGCUCAACCUGGGAACUGCUUUCAAAACUGCUGAGCUAGAGUACGGUAGAGGGUGGUGGAAUUUCCUGUGUAGCGGUGAAAUGCGUAGAUAUAGGAAGGAACACCAGUGGCGAAGGCGACCACCUGGACUGAUACUGACACUGAGGUGCGAAAGCGUGGGGAGCAAACAGG